GACGAACGCUGGCGGCGUGCUUAACACAUGCAAGUCGAACGGAAAGGCCCUGCUUUUGUGGGGUGCUCGAGUGGCGAACGGGUGAGUAACACGUGAGUAACCUGCCCUUGACUUUGGGAUAACUUCAGGAAACUGGGGCUAAUACCGGAUAGGAGCUGCUGCUGCAUGGUGGGGGUUGGAAAGUUUCGGCGGUUGGGGAUGGACUCGCGGCUUAUCAGCUUGUUGGUGGGGUAGUGGCUUACCCAGGCUUUGACGGGUAGCCGGCCUGGGAGGGUGACCGGCCACAUUGGGCCUGCGAUACGGCCCAGAGUCCAACGGGGGGCAGCAGGGGGGAAUAUUGCACAAUGGGCGGAAGCCUGUGGCAGCAACGCCGCGGGCGGGAUGACGGCCUUCGGGUUGUAAACCGCUUUCGCCUGUGACGAAGCGUGAGUGACGGUAAUGGGUAAAGAAGCACCGGCUAACUACGUG
rnacentral:rRNA from 1 species